CCCCUGAACUAAGAGGAAUUAAAGCCAAGUACCUACAUAUUUUAGUGCCUCGUCGAGGUGGUCUUUACGGAGUAGUUAUAAUUUCAAAUUUCCUAAUGCUUAAAUUGACUGUGUCCCCUGGGACCAAAAGGGAAUUUUAAUGCUUUCUUCGCUCGUCUUCAGCUGUUGUCUGGAUUGAAUACUAGACUUAAAAACCUGCACAUUAUUUUAGCACGAUAGAUGAAGCCUACUCAUAUUUUUCUCCUAUCAACAUCUGAUGAAAGAAAUCCAACUUUAGCGACGGAAAAAACAUUCAUAAAUACGAGUAAUUUUUAUAAUAACUAAGUUAUUUUCAUAAUUACUUGACCCUGAUUGACAUCUGCAAUGUGGCCUAACCUAACAUGUUAAGGCAUAAUUAACUUUAUCACAGCAAUAACAAUCAACAUGUUUCGCUAUCUCUCACGUAUAUCGCGCAGGAAGUUGUUGCAUUGUUUGUCAAAGGUUUCCGUUAAUGUAACAUGCGAUCUGCUAAAGGCUAUAAAAAUGUGUCUAACGUGUAAGACAGCCACAGUAGUGACCAGUUAAGAUGAAUCGCUUGUUUUAUUUGAUGGUCUUUGCUAUUUGCCUCGCGGCAAAUUGUGCAUUAAUAUCGGCAGCACCAGGCACUCCUGGAUCUGCAGCUUUAACCAACAUUUUCGGCAGUUCCCUUCAUGCUUCUAACCGGGUUGUCAGGCAAGCACCUGAUUUCCAGCCACCACCACCACCGCCUCCCCCAGAAAUGUUUAUGAAUAACUUUUCAAGGAAAAGGAGAGAAGCAAAAGGCGGCGGUUCUAUGCCGACAAGGAAAGGAUAAAACCACCGUUGAAGACAUUCA